CAAACUGGGGCUAAUAAUGAAAGAUCCCUCCCAUUUCUCACAGGAAAGUUACGAGGACUUCAAUUCAAAAUGAGGUGAGGGAAAAGUUACAAAUAUACCUUUGUGAAGGUGACAUAUAUGAAUGUCACUCAGACACACACUGAGACACACAUCCAUGGAGAUACAGACAGACAGAGACACACACGCGCACUCACAUGUGGUCAGACAGACACAUGGAUAGACACACACUGAGACACUCAGUCAGACAGACACUGAGACACUUGGUCAGACAGACACAGACACUCGGUCAGACAGACACAGACAUUCGGUCAGGCAGACACAAACAAUCAGAGAGACACACACUGAGACAUUCGGUCAGACAGACACUCUGUCAGACACACGGUCAGACAGACACUCAGAUACUCGGUCAGACACUGAGACGAUCAGAGAGACACACACUGAGACACUCGGUCAGACAGACACUGAGACACUCGAACAAACAGACACAGACACUUGGUCAGACAGACACUGAGACAAUCAGAGAGACACACACUGAGACACUCGGUCAGACAGACAGACACAGAGACACUCGGUCAGACAGACAGACAGACAGACAGACACAGACACUCAGUCAGACAGACACAGACACUUGGUCAGACAGACACAGAGACACUCAGUCAGACAGACACGCACAGAGGCAGGCAGAAAGACACAUUCACAUUGAGAAGUUUUCAGACACUCAUCUACGGAGAUACAUACAGACUGACACACAGAGACACAUGGUCAGACAAACAAGCACCCAGACAGACUCACUCGAACAGACUUCGGCAGAAUGUGGAUUCAGUUCACUGGAUGAAGUGAACAACAGCCGUCGCCUCCAGCGCAUCAACAGUGUAAAAUCUUCACUAUAGGAGAGGCUCCAUCGCUUCUGCAGAGGAAGAGAGGGAUCCUUUACUCCCAGUUGAAGGAAGGUCAUGAUGAAAUGGCAGAGCAGACUCGAUGGACCAAAUGGCCGACUUUUGCUCCUUUGUCUUAUGGUCUUAUGGAAGGUCAGCAGUGCCCCGGUGAGUAAAGAAAAUGCUUCAAAGACAGCAUCAAAAUCAACCUGAAGAACUUCAACAUUGCAUUCGAAAACUAGGAAGAGAUUGCACUUGCUGGGUACACCUGGAGGGAAUCUGUUCAAAGGGAGCUGCGCUACAUGAGAACCACCUCCACUGUGCCACAGACGCCAUGUGGCAGCUGUGGAAAGAGAGACCAAGUAACCUGAAGACUGAACCACAGACACCGCUUGCUUUUGCCCACACUGCACCAGAGUAUGUGGAUCCUCGAUAGGCCUCUACAGCCAGCUGAGGACCCACCGAUAGACAACCCCCAGGAGAAUGUCAUGGUAUUGGGUAAUAAGCCUAGCCAGGUGAUUGACCUUUCAUUGAGAGAACAGUUAGGGAGCAGCAAUCAUAACUCCUUAAUUUUUAAGAUUGCUAUAGAUGUGUAUGGACCUUAUGGGGGAGUAUUAAAUUGGAGUAGGGAAAAUUACGAGAAUAUUAGGCAGGAUCUUGGAAGAGUUCAUUGGGAGCAGCUGUUUUUGGGCAAGUCCACAUCUAACAUGUUGGGGAUGCUUAAAAACCAAUUGCGCAGAAUACAGGACAGGCAUGUUCCAGUAAGCAUCAAGGACGAGGAUGACAAAGUAAGGGGACCUUGCACGCCGGGGGAGAUGGUGAAUUUAUUCAAGGAAAAGGAAGCACAUUGUACGUAAGGUUAAGGAUGCUAAGAACAAACUGAGCCCUUGAGGACGUUAAAGAAUCCAGAAAAUAACUCAAGAAAGGGAUUAGGAAAGCCAAGAGGAGCCAAGAAAAGUCUUUGGCAAUUCCUGCCUCAACCACUUCCUCUUGCAGCUCAUUUCAUAUAUGCACCACCCACUGUGAGUAAAAGUUCUUCUCAGGUUCCUGUUAAAUCUUUCCCCUCUCACCUUGAUUCCCCAACCCCAGGGCAAAGACUAUGUGCAUUUACCCUAAGUACGCUUGUCACGAUUUUAGAAACUUCUCACAUUCUCCAGCAGCUCACUGUGGACCUGGCAAAGGGCCGCCAUCAUGGGAAGGCCAGUUUUCCAGCCGGCAUUUCGGGAGGAAGCUUAGGGACAGAGGCAAAAGCCAGGAUAUCCGGCAGUCCUUCUCAGAGCUUCACGGACAAAUGUGCUCAGUCGUUCAGAUGUGGAGACUGGAGCAGAAUGAGGGAAUGUGGCAACCUUCCUUCACUAUUGGAUUUAGCGAACCAGUUUUUUUUAGAGAUACAGCAAUGGAAACAGGCCUUAAGGUUUGUUAUCACUGGGGGAGGUAGUGAGAAUUGUGACUCAAAUAGCCUCUGACUACCAAGUCCAGCUCCUGGCCUGGUGGAACCGUUCUACUGACAGGAGAAGGGGCAAGGGCAGUUCUUUUUCGUUCCUCUCCACGCCUUGUGUCGCAUCAGGUGGCAAACUUGCCAUUUCUUCAGUAUAUGUCUGCUUUUUACGAGGCCGAGUUGCCAGCUCGACACUCAAACCAGCACGGAUGGAAAGCGUGCAAGGAGCUGGCCGGAUUCUAACCCGGGACCACUCGCCUCGAAGUCCGGUGCUCAACUUCACUUGCCCCAUCAUGGAAAUGCCCCACAACCAAUGGACUUGCUUUCAAGGACUCUUCUUCUCAUGUUCUUUAUAUUUAUUGAUUAUUUUUUUUAUUAUUAUUCCUUCUAUUUGUACUUGCACCAUUUAUUGUCUUCUGCAAUCUGGUUGAACACCCUCGUUGGGCGUUUUCAUUGAUUCUGUUAUGGUUACUAUGCUAUAGAAUUAUUGAGUAUGCCCGCAAGAAAAUAAAUCCCAGAGUUGUAUAUGGUUACAUAUAUGUACUUUGAUACUUCUAUUUUUCCCCAGGGCUGAAAUAGCUAACACGAGAGGGCACAGUUUUAAGGUGCUUGGAAGUAAGUACAGAGGAGAUGUCAGGGGUAAGUUUUUUCACUGGGAGAGUGAGUGUGUGGAAUGGGCUGCUAGCGACGGUGGUGGAGGCAGAUACAAUGGGGUCUUUUAAGACACUCCUGGACAGGUACAUGGAGCUCAGAAAAAUAGAGGGUUAUGGGUAACCCUAGGUAAUUUCUCAGGUAAGGACAUGUUUGGCACAGCUUUGUGGGCCGAAGGACCUGCAUUGUGCUGUAGGUUUUCUAUGUUUCUAUGAUAAAAUUUACUUCGAACGUGCUAAUGUGUUUCUAGAUGUGGAUGAGGCAAUAUAUGAGCAAUUGAUACAGUGGGAAAGGAGAGGGAAGGGGAGCUGAGGUCAUAAAAGAGAUGAUAGAGACCACAGGAAGGAGGGUAGAGAUGGGAAAUUUGAGGGAGGAAAGAGGGACGUACUAAAGGGGAGCAGACAGGAAAGGGAAGAAACACAGGAAGAAAGGAAAUAGGUGAGAGAGAGAAUGAGAAGAGAGAAAGUGAUGGCAUAGGAUGGAGAGGAAAGAAAGAGAUUCAAAGAGCAGUGAGCAGAAAGGAGCGCAAAGAGAAACAGAAACAAAAGUAGAGAGUGGAAAAAGAGAGGGGAUAGAAAGAAAGCAAAUCUAAUAGGAGACAGGGACAGAAAAAAAGAAGGAUGGAGAAUUAGAUGCUGUAGAUGGAGAGAGGGAGGUAGAUGGAUAGAUAUAUAAAGAGAGGGAGAGAGAGAAAGAUGGAGAGAGAGAGAGAGAGAACCAGAGAUCAGAACUGAUACUCAUCAGAUUACACGACUCAAAUCUCUGACAUGAAAGUAUUUCAAAGUAUGGAAUAAAUUAUUAAGAAUUUUUCUUUCAGCACGACAUGAAACCCUCUGAUUUUACCUUUUUUUAACAGGCAGUUAUGUAAAGAAUUUUUUAAGUCUUUGUGCGGCUAAAUUCACAGUCAGUGGGAGGACCUACUGAGAGUGGUGUCACGAUGAAUGACCUCAGCUGCAAUGAAACAGAAGGAGAAAUCCUGAUGAGCCUGCUGGGGGUUGGAGGGGUGGGGGCAAGGUUUUGAGAACCGCUCAACUGUGCACAACACUCUCCAUGGGCCCAUAUAUAACCUCUGUUUACAGGGACUGUGUGUGAUACCUCCCUGUUCCAUUGGACCAUUUGUUGGUAGUACAAUAGGGAGAUGUUUUAAAUUCCACUAAGUUUCCUGGGUGACGUAGUAUUUUGAAAACAAGCACAGAAAUUGCCUUGCUGAAAGCUGUGCAUCAGUUGGUUUAAGUGCCUGACCCUUAUUUAUGAGCGCAGUGUUACUAUUGAUAGCAGCACGUGAGUGUGACAGACUUUCCAGUA